UUGAUCUGGAUCACAACGAACGUUAGCGGCGUGCUUAAUACAUGCAAGUCGUGCGAGAAAGUACCCUUCGGGGUGCGAGUAGAGCGGCAAACGGGUGAGUAACACGUAAGUAACCUACCUCUAAAUCUGGAAUAACUCUGCCAACGCGGAGCUAAUACCGGAUGUGGUCACGAUGCUGCAUGGUAUUGUGACUAAAGGUGACCUCUCCUUGGAAGUUACCGUUUAGAGAUGGGCUUGCGGACCAUUAGCUAGUUGGUGAGGUAACGGCUCACCAAGGCUACGAUGGAUAGCCGGCCUAAGAGGGUGAUCGGCCACAUUGGGACUGAGAUACGGCCCAGACUCCUACGGGAGGCAGCAGUAGGGAAUUUUGCGCAAUGGACGAAAGUCUGACGCAGCAACGCCGCGUGAGGGAUGACGGCCUUCGGGUUGUAAACCUCUGUUGAGUGGGAAGAAAAGCUUUGUGGUUAAUAUCCACAGAGUCUGACGGUACCACUCGAGGAAGCUCCGGCUAACUACGUGCCAGCAGCCGCGGUAAUACGUAGGGGGCUAGCGUUGUUCGGAAUCACUGGGCGUAAAGGGAGUGUAGGCGGACCGGUAAGUUAGGAGUUAAAUGUACGGGCUCAACCCGUGAUCUGCUUUUAAUACUGUCGGUCUUGAGUAUGGGAGAGGGAGAUGGAAUUCCAGGUGUAGCGGUGGAAUGCGUAGAUAUCUGGAAGAACACCAGUUGCGAAGGCGGUCUCCUGGACCAAUACUGACGCUGAUGCUCGAAAGCUGGGGGAGCGAACAGGAUUAGAUACCCUGGUAGUCCCAGACGUAAACGAUGGACACUAGUUGCCGGAGGAGUCAAUCCCUUCGGUGACGAAGCUAACGCAUUACGUGUCCCGACUGGGGAGUACGCUCGC
rnacentral:rRNA from 1 species